GGGGCAAAAUGGUGGUUUUAACACUAUAGGGUCUGGAAUACAUGUUUGUGUUCCUGACCCUAUAGUGUUCAUUUACGUUAAAAGUUAAUACUAAUCCUUUUAAGUCUUUACCCCAUAUCACUCACUACGGGUCACUAUCACUACACAUCUCAAUCAUACAUUAUAUGUGCUGAUACCUAAUUAGUAAAUUCAUCAACGAAAGAGUUUCUAAACAUAAUACUCCAAGUUGCCCUCUGGAUGUUCCAGUGCCCAGAAUGUAUAAACAGAAAGGGGGUCCGAGGCUCAACAGCUCAAAGUAAUGCAGACGCUAUAGGCAGUGUCCAAGAAAGGCUAUUUCCUGUGCUAGCCCUGGCCAACACGCUAAAUAAAACACAGUAUCCCUAUUUAUGUGACAGUCAUGAGUGCAGUAUAUAAAACACAUAUCAGUGAAGAAA